GGAGUUGGUAGCUCAGUGGUAGAGUGCAUGCUCUGCAUGUAUGAUGUCCUGGGUUCAGUCCCCAGCUUCUCUCCA
rnacentral:tRNA from 1 species